rnacentral:piRNA from 1 species
UGAGGGAGUUCAUGCGUGGUGGCAAACC